CCAGACUCCUACGGGAGGCAGCAGUGGGGAAUAUUGCACAAUGGGGGAAACCCUGAUGCAGCGACGCCGCGUGGGCGACGAAGCGCUCCGGCGCGUAAAGCCCUGUCAGCAGGGAAGAACAAAGACAGUACCUGACCAAGAAGCCCCGGCUAACUACGUGCCAGCAGCCGCGGUAAUACGUAGGGGGCAAGCGUUAUCCGGAUUCACUGGGCGUAAAGGGAGCGCAGGCGGCACGGCAAGUCUGGUGUGAAAGCCCGGGGCCCAACCCCGGGACUGCAUUGGGAACUGGCGCGCUGGAGUGCCGGAGGGGUAGGCGGAAUUCCUAGUGUAGCGGUGAAAUGCGUAGAUAUUAGGAGGAACACCAGUGGCGAAGGCGGCCUACUGGACGGUGACUGACGCUGAGGCUCGAAAGCGUGGGGAGCAAACAGGAUUAGAUACCCGAGUAAA
rnacentral:rRNA from 1 species